rnacentral:rRNA from 1 species
ACUUUCAACAACGGAUCUCUUGGUUCUGGCAUCGAUGAAGAACGCAGCGAAAUGCGAUAAGUAAUGUGAAUUGCAGAAUUCAGUGAAUCAUCGAAUCUUUGAACGCACAUUGCGCCCCUUGGUAUUCCGGGGGGCAUGCCUGUUCGAGCGUCAUUGC